rnacentral:rRNA from 1 species
GAUGAACGCUGGCGGCGUGCCUAAUACAUGCAAGUCGAGCGAACAGACGAGGAGCUUGCUCCUCUGACGUUAGCGGCGGACGGGUGAGUAACACGUGGAUAACCUACCUAUAAGACUGGGAUAACUUCGGGAAACCGGAGCUAAUACCGGAUAAUAUAUUGAACCGCAUGGUUCAAUAGUGAAAGACGGUUUUGCUGUCACUUAUAGAUGGAUCCGCGCCGCAUUAGCUAGUUGGUAAGGUAACGGCUUACCAAGGCAACGAUGCGUAGCCGACCUGAGAGGGUGAUCGGCCACACUGGAACUGGGACACGGUCCAGACUCCUACGGGAGGCGGCAGUAGGGAAUCUUCCGCAAUGGGCGAAAGCCUGACGGAGCAACGCCGCGUGAGUGAUGAAGGUCUUCGGAUCGUAAAACUCUGUUAUUAGGGAAGAACAAAUGUGUAAGUAACUAUGCACGUCUUGACGGUACCUAAUCAGAAAGCCACGGCUAACUACGUG